UGUCUUCUUGGUACCUUGGAGGGGAGGAGAUGGCUUUCCCGUGGUGAGGUCACACAGGCAACGCUGCGGGCAGAGUCUAUGACUGUGCUAUCCUUGUUUGCUUGUCCUUGAGUCAUGGGUAUUGGCUUCGGUCACUGGGUUCUUUGUGAAACUCUCUUGAAGCUGCUCAGGUCCCUAAUGGAGCUCAAGGGCUGGUUAUUAGCCACACCUGUCGACAAUAACCUUGAGAGCAGAUCUCUCUGACCUCAGACCUCCGCCUAGGUGGGACCUUUGUUUGGGGGAAGAAGCACAAUAACCUUGAAGGAACUAGAGAUGAAACAAAGACUCUUGGUGCUGGAGAGACAGCUCAUUAGUGAGGAGCACGGGCUGCACUUCAGGAGGACCCAGGCUGGAUUCACAUGGCCCACAAGGAAUUUGUAACUCCAGUUUCAGAGCAUCUAAUACCCUCUUCUGAUCUCUGCAGGCACCAGACACACGUGCUGUGAAAUAUUAUUUUAUGAUGUAUUACAUUUG